rnacentral:lncRNA from 1 species
UGAUUCUCAAGAAUGCCUUGAAAGUAUGUGCAAUAUAAUCAAUAACAUCUGUCCCCACCGAACUUACUUUGCAGGUACUCUUUGAGCACAUCAAAUUCUUCCAUUGCCGCUCUUCUCUGUGCCCUUUAUCCGCACUUCCCAGCUCACAGCACUGACAACCGGUAUCAUCUCCAGGCUCUCCGGCACCUCUAUGUGCUGGCCGCGGAGCCCAGGCUUCUAGUGCCUGUGGAUGUGGACACAAACACGCCCUGCUAUGCCCUCUUAGAAGUUACCUACAAGGGCACUCAGUGGUAUGAACAAACCAAAGAAGAAUUGAUGGCUCCUACCCUUCUUCCAGAACUCCAUCUUUUAAAGCAGAUUAAAGUAAAAGGCCCAAGAUACUGGGAACUGCUCAUAGAUUUAAGCAAAG